CCCAGAGUGCUAUCCACCAAUCCCCUUUCUGCAAGGGGGCGGGCCUAUCAGCCUCCCUUCCUUCUUCAUUCUCUGUCCUGGAACAUCCACUGCCUGAUGAGGACCAGUGUACAAAAUACAAGUGUGUCGUAGGCUACUUUGCAUCGAUGUGGCAGACACUAUGACCAAAAGCAACACAGGGCACACAAGCUUUAUGAGGCUCAUGUGUCCUGAUCCUUGGCCGUCUUUGAUGAGAAGUCAAGGCAGGAACUCCAUCAGGGCAGGAACCUGGAGGCAGGAAGUGAAAGAGAGCCUUCAGAGGAGGGCUGCUGACUGUCUUGCUAACCUGACUGUCCUUCUCAGGACAUGCUGCCCAGUAGUGGCGGAUCCUCCAGAGGGCUAUGAUCCUCCCAUACCUGUCACUGAGGAAGACACCACAUCAUUCCUGUAGGCUAUGUGAUGCAGGCAUUCUCUCAAUCACACUUCCCUCCUUUCAGAUGUCUCCUGCUUGUGUUGUUGACAAAUGGACCAGCACAGGGUCAAUGGUCACCAUACAAAUGGAAAGAGCAGGACUAGGACCAGGUGACAUGUCACCAGAGGUGGGAACUCAGGUAGAAUGUCUUAAGUUUCAGAAGCAGCUGGCUGUCCCUUGUAGCUCUCAGGACCUAUUUGAGGCAGACGUGAGGGCCUGGUGGAUUGCACUGGAACUCAGUGCUCACUAGGUGGAGUGGAUGUGUGUGGCACAGCCUGAGAGAAGCUAUGACUCUGACCUGCCUGCUACAGAGAGCCCUAGGCAGAGAGAGGCCCUGACUGCUCCUCACUCCUGUCAGUGAAAUGGUCCCUAACCUGCAGGGACCAGGAGAAAGUUGAAUGGGUGAGGUCCUGUUGCAGUCUAUUUUGACAUGCACUUGGCUUAACUAGGACUCAGAGACCGGGUGUCUCAUCCUAAAUUGGGAAGGACGUUCCUCUUACGUGCCGGGUGAAGAGCACAGCUUUGCUCUGGAGUCCAGUCAUGAGUGUGGCUGAAUGACUGAUCAGUGCGUGCAAGUUCUAGCCAGUGUGGUUUCUCCCCCUGAUGUUUACAGCCUGACACUGAUCAUGGACAGACACCUCCCACCCAGGCUAGCUAACCCCUCCUCCCGUGCUGUACCAAUUAAACAGCCUGAGAUUCCUGGCAGCCACAGGCACACUUAGAGUUCCCAGCUGUUCCCAGCUUCACUUUCAAUGUGACUUUCCUUCAUUUCCUCAGCAGCUCAGGAGAGCAGCCUGAGUCAGGUGACCCUAUGGACAUACCCUUAGGAACCUAUACCCUCUCCCUAACCCCUCAGAGGGCUGACUGGUUGUUUUGUUUUGAGACAGGGAUUCUCUGUGUAGUCCUGGCUGUCUUGGAACUCCCUCUGUAGACCAGGCUGCCCUCAAACUCUGAGUUUCACCUGCCUCUGCUUCCUGACUGCUGGACCUAAGCUAAGGCCUGUACCAGCCGCACCGCCCAAGCUGCUGUGUUCUUAAGGGCAAGCCAUUGACUUUGUAGGAUUCCAGGAAGCCAGAGAAGGGAAACAGAUGAACUGGCAGCUCUCCUGCUAGUCAGAACUCCCCGCACCGGGCUUAGCAGUCCAGAUGCAAUCCAUGGAGCAGGCUGCAGAGUUGAGACACCCAAUUAUACCCACAGGACCCAGGUCCUAGUUUGAUUACUGUUCGAUUUCCCACAUUUAAUGAAAUGCUCUACUUAUUUCUAUAAUUAAUGAAUGUAUUUCUUAGCAAAUACAAUUUCAACUUUAUUUCCAAAAAAUUAAAACUUUAACUUUAUUUAUACGGCUGUUUGACGCUUUGUGAAAUGCUUAGAAGUGUUUUGCCAAGUCACAAACAAUAUCUUCAAACUUAACUAAGUACACACUGGGCUCGGCUUCAGCCUGGUUUAUGACCACGCCAAUUCUCUUGGAGGCAUCGUCUUUGGUGUAUCCCACAUGUUUGCCUAUCAGGGCAUCCAUAAGCUCAAGGUUGAUGUCUAAAAGAGGCAGCUUUCUGCACCCUGCCAAAAUACAGAGGUCGCCCUCUAUAUAGUCUUCUAGAAGCUGGUACAUGUACAGCACAGGAUCUUUCUCAUAUGUUAUAUAAAAGCUGGCAUCCAAGAUAGGAGUUUGGCCCAGGACCAUGCCCCUGCAAUCACCCUCAUCGCCAUGCUCACCCUCAAAUACAUGUUCCACUGCUUUGCCAAUGAUGGCAUCAAGAAGGCUGGUGUCAGUGACUUGGGAUGAUGCUACCCUGUCAGAAGGAAUUUUAAGGCACAGUACCCUCUUGUCUUUGUUAAAUUCUAGUCCACAGACACGGUCAAUGCCAUCGCAUUUCAGCAGGUGGAGAGAGGUCUUUACAGCCACCUGAUCCAGCACAGUUCCUUUCCACUGUGUGAUGGGCUCAUGUCCCUCCUUCUGCCCGAGAGAAAUUCUACAGCCCAUGAUGUUCCUUCGGGUCGGGGUUGGAGAAACUUUUCCUCUCCCUGACCAGCUCUCUUCUUGGCCAACUUUGCGCUUCCCAUGUUCUGUUAUGCAGCUUUGCUGGUGUGCUGCCCUUCUGCUUCCUGGGUCCUGGAGGGUUCCAAGGUUCUUCCUAGCUUGUACUGUCUUCCUGCCUCGGGGGAUAGAGGCUGUCGGAGGGGGCUCUAGAUAUCUCUGCUAAAAGCCGGAGGCGAGGGCGUCCAACCUAAGGAGUGCUCCACACAGAGCUGAGAAGGAGGAUUAACGAUUUUAUUAAACUUUUUGUCCCAUACAACUCAGGGAUUUGUAGAGUACAACUUGGGAACUUUUUAAUAUAUGCUAAGAAUUCAACAGCCAUUGGUAUGAUUAUCUCACGCAUUGCAAACAUGAUUCCAGGAGAUUUUCAAAACUUGUAGCUGUGCCUGAAGGAACUCUCAUCCCCCACACCGGUCACCUUUCCCUGUCUAACACACCACCCCUUCAUGAGCACUAGCAUGUCUGAUCAGUAUGAAUUUGAUUAUAGCUUUCACUCUUUAAUUACCUUUGCUUGUGUGGCUGUGGUUCUGUGUACAUGUGUGUGCACAGGUGCAUUUCUUCAUGUGUGUAUGUGCGUUGGUGUGCUGGGCACGCACAGUAAGGGUCAGGGUUAGAGGGAAGUGUUGAUGGUGAGCUCUCUCCUUCCACCCUGCUGCUCUACAGUCCCCAUUGAUAUUGUUGGGUCAUAUAUUAGCCUGGCUGGCCUUGGAGAUUUCAGUCAGUUCUGUUGUCUCUGCCUCAGGCUUUGCCGUGUUUGCAUAUUUUACUUUACAUUGUUUGCUACUCAGUAAGCCUUUUAUUUUUGAGGAAUCUUGGGAUGUUGUAUGGUCUUUAGGCUAACACACCUACCCUCAUUAUAUCCUUGCUCUCGUUUAGCCCUGGUUUCUUUUUUUUUUUAAUUAUGUUGUAUUUUAGGUUUCUUCUUGAAAACCAAUUGAACGAAAUGUGCUCCUUGUGUUUGCGUGUGUGCAUGGAAGUUUGUGUGUACCUAUGCAUGGAUUACACCAUAGUUCCAUCCUCUUCCCAGUGGCCUGUUCACUUUCCUGAACCUCAUAAUGGGUUUCCUUCCAAGCCCAGCUAUUUCCUCACUGCGAUGUUGUGUCAUACACAUUACAUUCGGUGCCUCCUCUUCUCGCCCACAAUACCUGUGUUCCCCUCUCAGCACUGGUCCACUCUUACGUUUCCUGUUUUAAGACUGAAACACAAAGGCACACAAACAGUUGAGCAAGACACUCUCAGGCAUUCACACACACACACACACACACACACACACACACACACAUUUCUGUUCCUGAGACUGGCUUAUUUCACUUAGCAUCUUGAUCUCCAUGUCGACACAUGUCCUGCUUAUCUCAAUUUCCUUCACAUGUAAUGAUGCGUCAGUGUUGCUGAUUUCUCAUCCCCUCCCACAUGUUUGUGCUCAUCCUGUCGGUUCCCUUCUGAGCCAUAGUGAACAGGGCAACCAUGAGCCUGGAUGUCUGAGGAUCCCUGCCUUACAUUGACGGAUCAGACAGCAGUCCCCUUUUCCUUGUUCUGAGGAACUUUCAUGCUGGCAUCCAGGGUCACUUUCCCGGUCUCACUUCCCAACAUCAGUGUGUGAGCAUCCAUGAUUCUCCCUGUCCUGCCUGUCAUAUGUUGGCCUUGGUUUCCUCGUUACCAGUCAUGGUGGAGGGGGGACCUGUCACCUCAAACACCAUAAUUCCCUUCCCGGGAUGGUGAGGAUGCUGAGCAUUUGUUGAAGUGUCUACCUUUGUGGGUCUUCUUUUGAGGGCCUUCUCUUCAGUUCACUACCCCAAGUAUUGAUUAGAUGCUUUGGUUUUUGUUGUGUGGGGCAGUGGGGGUUGACACUAGACAGAAGACUGGGCAAUGAAGUUAGUUAAAAAACAAAAACAAAAAACUCGGAAUUCUCAUAAUUGCGAACACUAGGCAUUAGUUCCAAUUCAGGUCAAGGGCUACUGGUUUCAGAACAAGUGACGAAAACAUUCCACUAGAAGGAUCAUGUCACUUGGGACAACACCUGAGGCCCUCCCCCAUGCAUAUAAAGCAUCCCAACCUCUCAAGACUGAGCCAAACAGAAGCAUCUACCCCUGGAUCCCUGUCCAUUCCUGGAAUGUGGAGGAGGCCUCUGUCCACAAGGGAAAAAGUGCAUGAGCUAUUUCACCAAGAAUCAUCCGAGUGCAUCUGUCUUAUGAGCUAUAAUACUCUUGGGAACAGUUUUCCCUGCGGAAGCCUUCCUUGCUGGAUCUUGGCCAGGCCCAGCGUUCUGGGGAGGAUUCCCUGAAGCUACUUGGCUUGACACUGAGGAUACCAUUGGCUGUAAUUGCACACCACAUUCUGCCACUCCCUUAGUGGCUCUGGCUCCAGUCCUAGGGACAUAGUGAAGUGUGUAAAAUGCUCACUGGGCAAGCACUGGUGAGUCAGGGUUCAAUAACUUGGGCCCACGUCAGCUUUGAUCUAUGUUUCUUUGUGGUGGGGCCCAAGUGUGUGCUCUUGGACAACUCUUAGGUGAAUCUUAAUUCCUCUCCGUGUGUGAGCACAGGGCAGAGUCUAAGGGUGACACUGAGAUCCUUUCUCAGCCCCUACUGCUCCUUCACACCACAGAGGAAGUGUCGACCAGGAAAUAGCGAGCAAGAGGAGCUGAGGGAGGGGCCUGGCUUAGAUGACCACAGAGUACCAUCCUUGAUAAGACUGCUGAAGUGAAAGGUUUGAUUUGGUUUCUAAGAGCAAGAAAUCUGAAAUCUGAAAGUCAAAACACUUUCUGAAUGGCCUUGUAGGGCAUCAAUGGCAGGAGAUCGAUGCCGCAGAGUAGGGG
rnacentral:lncRNA from 1 species